AGAGUUUGAUCAUGGCUCAGGACGAACGCUAGCGACGUGCCUAAGGUAUGCAAGUCGAACGGGGGCUUCGGCCCUAGUGGCGAACGGUCGAGUAACACGUAGACUACCUGCCCGGAAGUGGGGGAUAACAGCGGGAAACUGCUGCUAAUACCGCAUGUGGCCUGAUGCAGCCUUGUAUCAGCGCUAAAGGAGCAAUUCGCUUCUGGAUGGGUCUGCGGCCUAUCAGGUUGUUGGUGGGGUAACGGCCUACCAAGCCGACGACGGGUAGCGGGUCUGAGAGGAUGAUCCGCCGGACGGGGACUGAGACACGGCCCCGACUCCUUCGGGAGGCAGCAAUGAGGAAUAUUGCACAAUGGGCGAAAGCCUGAUGCAGCGACGUCGCGUGGGUGAGGAAGUUCUUCGGAAUGUAAAGCCCUUUUGUCGGGGACGAUCACAGACGGUACCCGGCGAAUAAGCCCCGGCUAACUACGUGCCAGCAGCCGCGGUAAUACGUAGGGGGCAAGCGUUGUCCGGAUUUACUGGGCGUAAAGAGCGCGUAGGCGGAUGCUUAAGUGUGGCCUGAAAGCCCCCGGCUCAACCGGGGAUCCGGGUUGCAAACUGGGCAUCUUGAGGGGGAUAGAGGAAGGUGGAAUUCCUGGUGUAGCGGUGAAAUGCGUAGAGAUCAGGAGGAACACCCGUGGCGAAGGCGGCCUUCUGGGUCCGCCCUGACGCUGAGGCGCGAAAGCGUGGGGAGCGAACGGGAUUAGAUACCCCCGUAGUCC
rnacentral:rRNA from 1 species